rnacentral:ncRNA from 1 species
AACCUGCUGUUUAAUUUAAAAACAUAUAAGACAGAUGGUUUUCACUGUCUCUGCUUUCUACCCACUGCUCUGAAUUUUGACUAGUAGUAAUUUGAGUGAGGGUAAACGGCGAGUGUAACUACGACUCUCUUAAGAUAGCUAAAUGCCUUGUCAGCUAACUAUUGACGAGCAUGAAUGGAUUAACGAGAUU